rnacentral:tRNA from 1 species
AGAGAGGUGGCUCAGUGGUUAAGAGCACUGGCUGAUAUUCCAGAGGACCCCGGGUUCAAUUCCCAGGUUGUCUG